GGGAGAAUGAGGUGCCAAGGAGUCAUAUAUACUAGUGGCGAGAUUUUAUUCAAGACAUUUUUCUUGCCAGCUCUUUUUCUCCUUGAUUGCUCAAGUUCCAGUUCUGAUGGAGCUGGUUAAUAAUUCUUUUAAGAGUUGAAGUGUAUAUUUAUGAAUCUCAGACUACUCACCAAAGCAUUUUAAGCCCUUUAGCAGAGGUGGAAUUAAGUCACAUGACCGGUUUUCUGGUUAAUAGCUUAUAACACUUUGGUACUUUGUGUGGGGGUGGGGCGGGAGUGCUGGAAGCUCAGGAAACGAACGAAUUACCUCCUGUAGCCUUUAGGAAGCUAGAUGCCCUUUUAGGUAAAAGCCCUGUCUUCAUGGGAGGCCGUAUGUGCCAGGCACAGUGCCGGAGCCCUACCCUGGAGAAGUUUGCCCUCUGACCUCUUCCCUCUCUAGGACUUAAUUUCUCCGUCUGUGAAUGCAGGCGCUGGAUGAGCUCAUCUCCGCAACUCCUUCCAGCUCUUAACAUUCUUCGGUUCCCCGGGGAUAAUGGAGAUUGAUCAUUAUUUCAACAUUACCAGGGACGAACUAGAAUGAAAUGGGUAAUCUUCCCAUCAGGCUUCACAGACGGUCUGCCGUCAUCAGCUAAAAUAUUCCAGUCCUAGGAGGUGUGGAUGAAGAUGAUGAUAAUUCCCAUUUAACCGAGGGUCCUACCUGGUUCCAUGCGCCGUGCCAAAUGCUCUCCUGUGGAUUAUUUUAUUUACUUGGAAUGCCAAAUUUUUGUAAAAUCAAGCCAAUGAAGAAAGCUUGAGAACCACGACAAAGCCAGUCAAAGCCGAUGCCCAGAUGCCCGCGAUCUUAUGCUUUCUCUUGGGAAACAGAAAAGACAGCAAGACCCAGGAAACCAGGAGGAUGAGAGGAGAGCUUGAAAGGGGAAAGAGCAGUCAUCUUUCUCCUUCCGGGUCCCUCUACGUUUAAGGAAGACCUGUUUGUCUCUGGAAAGUGCCUGUGGAAAAUUUGAAAACAGAGCAAGGCUACGUUGCUUUCCAAGGGAUAGGUAUGCUGUAACUUAUCUAGACAGUCUUAUGAUGGUGGACAUUCAAGUCAUCAGCACUCAGUGUUUCACUGAACAUCCUGGGCAUCUGUCUUGUGCACUUCUGUGGGUAUUUCUCUAGUCAUAAUCCAAGAAAUUAGUGGGUGUGCACAUUUAAAUGUGUAGGGACGGCCAAAGCUGUCUUCUUGAGGGACAGUGCCAGUCAUCAGCAGAGUCGGAAGUUGGAAAAUGUGCUGUUGAACUGAACACCUCCUUUUGCUGAUCAGCAGACGGGAUGGGGGGAAGAACCUGAUGGAAGUCAGAUGUGAGUUCCAAACACAACCAAGAACACGGCCUCCUGAUUCUCUGCCCAGGGAGGUCCUUGUGUUUCUGUCAACCUCUAAUAGCGCUAUGGUCCUUUACCUUGGCUGGUCUGGUGCCCUGCCCAGACCCAGGAGCAAAGGCUUUGAAUAAGCAUAUUCUGGUCACAUUUCAACCUCGGCCCUUAAGAUCAUGUCUUCAGUUACCUAAGAAAGGGACUCUGAUUUGGGUGCCUUGGCAGUCCUUUUGAGGGGGGAAAAUCUGGUCCCUUUGGAACAAAUCAUUCUUCCCACGUCCAGGGACAGCUGAGUCUACUGAGUGAAGCAUGGAGCUCGGCCUCUGAGCUUAGCUCCGCCCCGCCUGGGAUUUGGGACGUGGUGCUCAGCCUCUCUGUGCCUCGGUGUCCCCACCUUGGAAACAGGAGCCCUUCACAGCGCUAUCCUGAAAGUAAAACAGUAAUUGUAUGGGAAGGGUUGGGAGGCUCUCGGGAUGUUUGUUUUCCUUCUGGAAUGUGGGGCUGAGGCGUCCAACAGAGGGCAGUCUGAGCUGGAAGCCCGGUUCUCCACACUGAGGAGCAUCUGCAAGGCGUUCCCCGGUGCUAAUUUGUUCCCAGAGUUGAGAUUUAAUUGAGGUCAGAGUCAUUUGCACUUAUAACGCUGGUGAGCUGCUCUGAAGAGGUGAUUUAAGGACAAGAAAUGGCCGCAUCCCAAAAUUCCUCAGACACUCCCUUUGCACUCAUUUCUCUCUGAAUUCUUCAUCUUCUAAAUAUCAUCAUCUGUCUUCACUUCUCUAUCGUCAGCACACUCCAUUUCCGUCCACGGCAUCACCGCCUCUCUGGCCAUCCAGGACCGUAACUCUACUGUGAACCCUGGACCCCCUCACUCCCCAUGUCUGCGCAGCUGCCUCAUCCAGGACUAGUGCCCUGGUCCUUUCCUGUGCCCGGGCAGCAGCACCCCCGGGGCAGACCUCCCUGCCAGCCAGCCAGCACAAAGUACCACGUCCGGACAGGGCACCAGGGCUCGCCAGCGCCUGGUCAAACCCUCUGCCUUCCCUUCCCACUGUAAUGGCGGCCCUUUAGGGAGAGGGGACUGUGGAAAGCCAAGGCCUUCACGGGUCUGAUGUCAUGUACUUCUCAGGGGAUGACUGACAGGAACCGUUAGUGUUCCCAUUGAUGGACGGAGAAACUCAGAGCCUGUGGAGUACAGUGACUUGCUUCUAGUCACGCAGCUGGGAGCGGUAACACUGAGAUCUGACGCCCGAUGUGUCUUAACUGUUUCCCAAACAGUGGCCCUCAACCCAGCUAGCGGUGUGUUAACAGUGUCCCAUGAAAUGUCUAAAAUGUCAAUGGCUUCUGUCUCAAUUUCUAUUUUAAAAAGACGAGUAACUGUGUUUGAGUUUCCCUUAAAAAAACCAGUCGGCGUGGGAGCCUCCACUUGCCCAGUGAGCACAGAAGCGACAAGUGUGCAUGUGUCCCACCUUCCCACUGGGUCUUGGUGACGCCAGAGCACCAGCACGGUGAAGCUCUACGAUAUUAACCAGUCUUCACUCUCACAAUAUCUUGCUUCAUUUCCACCACAGCAGAACACUGCUGUGGUCCUGUGCCCAGCUCACGAGUGUCCUAUGUCACUGAAAAACCAACGUCAUAUAGGAAAACACAGCAACAAUCCUCUACAUGCCUGUGUUCCGUCCGUGGAGCAGUGCCUACAAAUAGAGAUCUGGAGUGAUCUCUGCUCACCUCUUAGGAACAGACACAAAAAUGGAGAAAAUACACUUUUAGAAGCACCAAAUGUUAGAAAUCCAAGAGAAGUAAGACUAUAAAAGGUUGCAGUUAGGACGGUGGCCCCUUUGCUAAGAAAGAGGCUCCCUGGGGCACCUGGGUGGCUCAGUGGGUUAA